rnacentral:misc_RNA from 1 species
GAUGAAGAACGUAGCGAAAUGCGAUACGUAAUGUGAAUUGCAGAAUUCAGUGAAUCAUCGAGUCUUUGAACGCACAUUGCGCCCCCUGGUAUUCCGGGGGGCAUGCCUGUUCGAGCGUCAUUUCAACCCUCAAGCUCUGCUUGGUAUUGGGCCCGGUGGGCGAUUGCCUACCAGCCUUAAAGAGAGUGGCGGUGCCCCGCGGCCCUGAGCGUAGUAACUACUCCCGCUAUAGGUGUCCACGGGCUCACCAGCCAGCAACCCCAACUUUCUAUGGUUGACCUCGGAUCAGGUAGGGAUACCCGCUGAACUUAAGCAUAUCAAUAAGCGGAGGA